ensembl:lncRNA
UGAUAAUGCAGGGAGGAGUGUCAGCUGUUAUUAAAGUCAGUGUUUGUAGUCCAUCAGUGAGGAAGAGGAGGGUGAAGGAGGAAGGAGAGAGCACAGCUUCCUUUGACCGAGAAGGGUCUGGCUGGAGCCACUGUGGAGCACCAUAUUGUGACCUCCACAGUAACCGGAUACACGUGACCUCCACAGUAGCUGGAAACACGUAACCUGCAUGAAUACAGUGGAAACCUUGCAAGUGGAUCGUAAAGGUUGGGACAGACUCUUUCAUAUGUACAUAUGCCAUGCACAUAUCAAUUUGGAAUUCUGCCUCAAAGCCAGAAUUGCACCACGUGUUGCAGAAGACUCUUUCACUGCCCUCUGUGCCCCACUUUCAGCCCUACUGUCAGGUCAAAGAUUGAGGAGCAUAUAAAUGGACACAUUAAAAAAGCUUUGCCUUUCAAAGCAACACCGCAGGAGAAAUGCCAGCACAGGCAUCCAGUAUCCGUAGUUUCAGGUGCUGCACAUCUCGUAUCUUCACACCAUAGACAAUUGCCUUCAGAUGACCCCAAAGAUAAAAGUCUAAGGGGUCAGAUCGGGAGACCUUGGGGGCCAUUCAACUGGCCCACGACAACCAAUCCACUUUCCAGGAAACUGUUCAUCUAGGAAUGCUCGGACCUGGCACCCAUAAUGUGGUGGUGCACCAUCCUGCUGGAAAAACUCAGGGAACGUGCCAGCUUCAGUGCAUAAAGAGGGAAACACAUCAUCAUGUAGCAAUUUCAAAUAUCCAGUGGCCUUGAGGUUUCCAUUGAUGAAGAAUGGACCCACUAUCGUUGUACCCCAUAUACCACACCAAACCAUCACUUUUGUUUUUCCAACAGUCUUGGAGGGAUGGAAAGUCCAUGAAAAUGAAAUGCCCUCAUUGUGAUCUCAGUCUUCUUUAAAAAAAACUUCAAGGCUCACAUGAUGAGAAGGCAUUCAAACAGAUCAAUAGAUGUUUGCCUGGCCUGUCAUCUGCACUGUGUUUGUGUACAGGGACUUCCUACUCUUUCUUUUUCAGUUUGCAGAGGACAUGGAGCUCUUUUUAAAAGCAUGUGCUGACAAGCAGGGACAUUUAAUGGACAGAUGAAGGCACUGGCUGUUUGUUUUUUGUUUUUUUUAUGUGUUGUUGGGGAUUUUUUU